CGCUAGCGGGAUGCCUUACACAUGCAAGUCGAACGGCAGCACGGACUUCGGUCUGGUGGCGAGUGGCGAACGGGUGAGUAAUGUAUCGGAACGUGCCUAGUAGCGGGGGAUAACUACGCGAAAGCGUAGCUAAUACCGCAUACGCCCUACGGGGGAAAGCAGGGGAUCGCAAGACCUUGCACUAUUAGAGCGGCCGAUAUCGGAUUAGCUAGUUGGUGGGGUAACGGCUCACCAAGGCGACGAUCCGUAGCUGGUUUGAGAGGACGACCAGCCACACUGGGACUGAGACACGGCCCAGACUCCUACGGGAGGCAGCAGUGGGGAAUUUUGGACAAUGGGGGAAACCCUGAUCCAGCCAUCCCGCGUGUGCGAUGAAGGCCUUCGGGUUGUAAAGCACUUUUGGCAGGAAAGAAACGUCAUGGGUUAAUACCCCGUGAAACUGACGGUACCUGCAGAAUAAGCACCGGCUAACUACGUGCCAGCAGCCGCGGUAAUACGUAGGGUGCAAGCGUUAAUCGGAAUUACUGGGCGUAAAGCGUGCGCAGGCGGUUCGGAAAGAAAGAUGUGAAAUCCCAGAGCUUAACUUUGGAACUGCAU
rnacentral:rRNA from 1 species